GUAGGUGAACCUGCGGAAGGAUCAUUACAGAGUUCAUGCCCUCACGGGUAGAUCUCCCACCCUUGAAUAUUAUACCUUCGUUGCUUUGGCAGGCCGUGGAAACACCAGAGGCUCCGGCUGAUGCGUGCCUGCCAGAGGAAACAAACUCUGUUUUUAGUGAUGUCUGAGAAAAAAUAAAUAGCAAAAAACUUUCAACAACGGAUCUCUUGGUUCUG
rnacentral:misc_RNA from 1 species